CCGUGUUUCAAGACGGGCGGCUUAAGAUCAUUACGCCAGCAUCCUAGUCAAAGACGCAGUCCUCGGUCUAGAUAGGCAGUAUCAACAAAGUCUAUAACACUUCACCGAAGCAAAGCUACAUUCCAAUGUCAUUAUCCUACCAUCCAAACCGAUGCUGGCCCGGUAAGCUGUGAGGAACCAAAUCCAAAAAGAAUAAGGAACACAAAAUACCAAGUCUGAUCUCAAGCCCUUCCCUUUCAACAAUUUCACGUACUUUUUCACUCUCUUUUCAAAGUUCUUUUCAUCUUUCCAUCACUGUACUUGUUCGCUAUCGGUCUCUCGCCAAUAUUUAGCUUUAGAUGGAAUUUACCACCCACUUAGAGCUGCAUUCCCAAACAACUCGACUCUUCGAAAGCACUUUACAUAGAAUUGGACAUCUCAUCGCACGGGAUUCUCACCCUCUGUGACGUCCUGUUCCAAGGAACAUAGACAAGAGCCAAUUCCAAAGUUACCUUCUUCAAAUUACAACUCGAACACUGAAAGUGCUAGAUUUCAAAUUUGAGCUUUUGCCGCUUCACUCGCCGUUACUAAGGCAAUCCCUGUUGGUUUCUUUUCCUCCGCUUAUUGAUAUGCA
rnacentral:rRNA from 1 species